GACGAACGCUGGCGGCGUGCCUAAUACAUGCAAGUAGAACGCUGAAGGAGGAGCUUGCUUCUCCGGAUGAGUUGCGAACGGGUGAGUAACGCGUAGGUAACCUGCCUGGUAGCGGGGGAUAACUAUUGGAAACGAUAGCUAAUACCGCAUAAGAGUAGAUGUUGCAUGACAUUUACUUAAAAGGUGCAAUUGCAUCACUACCAGAUGGACCUGCGUUGUAUUAGCUAGUUGGUGGGGUAACGGCUCACCAAGGCAACGAUACAUAGCCGACCUGAGAGGGUGAUCGGCCACACUGGGACUGAGACACGGCCCAGACUCCUACGGGAGGCAGCAGUAGGGAAUUUCGGCAAUGGACGGAAGUCUGACCGAGCAACGCCGCGUGAGUGAAGAAGGUUUUCGGAUCGUAAAGCUCUGUUGUAAGAGAAGAAACGAGUGUGAGAAGUGGAAAGUUCAACACUGUG
rnacentral:rRNA from 1 species